rfam:Kutzneria sp. 744 genomic scaffold supercont1.1, whole genome shotgun sequence.
CGGAGAUGCCCUCUCGGUCGGGAUGGAUCGUUCCUUCAGCAAGACCGAUUAUCCUCACCUGGAGGGCAUUUCCCUGUUCACGCCACACCUCGCGGCCCGAGAUCACCAAGAUCACCGGUGGAUCGAG